UACGUAGGGACCAAGCGUUGUCCGGAAUCAUUGGGCGUAAAGCGCGCGUAGGUGGCCAUUUAAGUCCGCUGUGAAAGUCAGAGGCUCAACCUUUGAAAGCCGGUGGAUACUGGAUGGCUAGAGUACGGAAGAGGCGAGUGGAAUUCCUGGUGUAGCGGUGAAAUGCGCAGAUAUCAGGAGGAACACCUAUUGCGAAGGCAGCUCGCUGGGACGUAACUGACGCUGAGACGCGAAAGCGUGGGGAGCAAACAGG
rnacentral:rRNA from 1 species